AUGGCAGGAUAGAAUCGAGAAACAUAUAGUAUCAAAGUUAAGAAUCAAGCUUGAGAAUACUGUACAAGAGAAUAGGACCCCACAGCGACUUGCCACAUACAUAUUAGCGAGGCUGAUGACGAAUAGAGAGCAAGGACUGUCUGGGUAAGUAACGUCAAGGUAUCUGUCCCCAUUCGAACGGUACUUGUGCUUCCCUAACAACAGAGCUUACCUCACCGACUCCGAAAGCCGUCAUCAAACUCACGCGGCGUUGAUCCGGCAGACUGUCGUACAAGGCCCGGGAACGUAUUCACCGACGGCAUGCCGAUCCCGCAGGAGUACUAGGCCGAUGUCUCAGCUUCACGCAGUCGAGUUGCAGACUGCGACCCUCUCAGAACUGAGAUACAGCAUCGUCGCCUUGGUGAUUGCCGUUAACCUCACCAACUAGCUAAUGCGCCUUUGUUCGGGUCCAUCUGUAGCACGUGUGUAGCCCAGGUCAUAAGCGGCACCUGUUAUGAUUUGAACGUCAUGCCCUUCAAACAACCAUCCGGUAUUAGCCACCGGCAGUCACCGUAGAGUGAUCCCAAUCUGACAGGCAGGCUACCCACGUAAGUUACUCAACCGUCCGCCGCUAACAUUGCAGGGAGCUUAAGCUCCAACAUCUGUCACGACACGAGCUUGACGACAACCAGGCACCACCUGUCACUCUGCCCCCGAAGGGGACGUCCUAUCUCUAGGAUUGUCAGAGGAUGUCAAGACCUGGUAAGGCUCUUCGCGUUGCUUCGAAUUAAACCACAUGCUCCACCGCUUGUGCGGGCCCCCGUCAAUUCCUUUGAGUUUCAGUCUUGCGACCGUACUCCCCAGGCGGAGUGCUUAAUGCGUUAGCUGCAGCACUAAGGGGCGGAAACCCCCUAACACUUAGCACUCAUCGUUUACGGCGUGGACUACCAGGGUAUCUAAUCCUGUUCGCUCCCCACGCUUUCGCUCCUCAGCGUCAGUUACAGACCAGAGAGUCGCCUUCGUCACUGUUGUUCCUCCACAUCCUACGCAUUUCACCGCUACACGUGGAAUUCCACUCUCCUCUUCUGCACUCUAGUUCCCCAGUUUUCUAUGACCCUCCUCGCUCUGAUCUGGGGGUUUUCUCAUCAUAUCUAUGAAUCCGCCUGCGAGUCCUUUUACGGGGGUUAAAUUCCGGGAAAAUGCUUGGCCACCUUCCUAAUUAACGGCGCUUGCUUGCCCGGUAAUUUAACCCGUGUGUCUGGUUUAAG
rnacentral:rRNA from 1 species